CCCCUCUCUCACCAGGAUGAGAUGCUCGAAUCAGAAUCAUAUAAUUCUUGGUCUAUAGGGCCUGGUCUUCUCAUUCCCUGUCCAAUUGGCGAUUAUGAGAUAAACAGAUUAUGAGAUACUUGCCCAAAGAGCAGUUCUAAUUGUUACAUAGGGUGAAUGGAACUACUAAAUAAAAGACCAUAGAGACUGACUGUCAGUUUUCAAACACUGUCCAACAAAAAGUGCAUGUAUAUGGCUGAAGGAUCCUGUUAUGAAUUAAAGUUAAUAGUUUUCUCAUUUUUGUACAUGUACUACAUAUAUAAGCAAAAUUGAUUUCCUUUCAAAACUUGAUGAAAGGAUUAAUAUGUUCUUUAAAAUAGCACUCCAAGAACUAUAACCAGUACAGCAUGCUGUAGUGGUUAUGUAGCUAAGAAUGCCUUAGGACUCCCCAUUGUAAGUAGUCAGACUAUUUGAUCUAAAGAUAUUACAUAGUUACAUAGCUGAAAAGAGACUUGCGUCCAUCAAGUUCAGCCUUCCUCACAUAUGUUUUUUGCUGUUGAUCCAAAAGAAGGCAAAAAACCUAGUCUGAAGCGCUUCCAAUUAGCAAAUAAAUUCCUUCUUGACCCCAAAAUAGCAGUCAGAUGUCUCCUUGGAUCAAGCAGCUAUUACCCCACUAAUUAGAAAUUAUAUCCCUG